UAAAAGAUAAGCUAAAUAAGCUUCUGGGCUCAUACCUCACUUAUAAAGGUAAACCCCUUUUCUUUUAA
rnacentral:tRNA from 1 species